GACAGAGGGUGCAAACGUUGUUCGGAAUUACUGGGCGUAAAGCGAGUGUAGGCGGUCUGCUAAGUCGGGUGUGAAAUCCCCGGGCUCAACCCGGGAACUGCGUCCGAUACUGGAAGGCUUGAAUCCGGGAGAGGGAUGCGGAAUUCCAGGUGUAGCGGUGAAAUGCGUAGAUAUCUGGAGGAACACCGGUGGCGAAGGCGGCAUCCUGGACCGGUAUUGACGCUGAGGCGCGAAAGCCAGGGGAGCAAACGGG
rnacentral:rRNA from 1 species